CCCCCUAAGCCAUUUGUGGAUUGGUUCAAUACAUACCAUUAUUGUUUAUUUAAGUUUAAAUUAGGUCCUGAAUAUUUCUAGAAAUUAUGGAUUAAAAGAAAACCCAUGUGAUUAUGUGAGUACACCUAAUACGUACCAGGCGACAAAGAAGUCAAACUUUCACAUGUUAAGUCUUCUGUUGAUCAUUAUAAAAUAAGAAAAGCCAUUUGUUAUAUGAUUUCAAAGAUGUAUUGUUCGUUCGUUCAAAGAGUUUCAUGGAAGAAUUGGAACAACUUGUCUCUUCAAAGGUGUUAGAGCUAUUUGAAAAUGAGAAGUCUCUCUUGGGAGUAUAUUUUAACUUUUGGAAUUAUUCGCUUACUUAUAGUUGUCUUUUUUAUUAGAGUUUAGUAUAGUUUUCAGUCCGGCGGUAUUUAGAUGAAUGAUUUGUUUUACAAUAUUCUUUGAUAUGCAUCUAACUAGACUAUUUACAGUGGUAUUUUGAAUAAAUGUUAAAAUAUUUAAACUUAUAGUGAUCAUGUUGAAUGCGAAAUAGUAGAUUAUUUAGAGGUGAAUAAAGAGUAGAUAGGGAUAAUCAGUGCCAAAUAACAUGGUCUCAAGAUUCAUAAUAUUCUAUUCUAAUGAAUUGAAAUCAGUUACUUUAUAACAUAUUAAUUUAUUUUUAUUUUACGAAAACAUCAUUUAUAUUUUAUAAAUAAAGAUUAUGUUCAUUUAGUUUAGACAUACAAGUACUUUUCUAAUUAUUUUUAUUAGCUUUAAUAAAUUACUUUUUAUAUAUUCAAAUAGUUUUAGCAAGCUGGAUCCAAUAAUAUUUUCUAGAAAUUAACGUGCUACUAAUUAUUUUUAAGUUAUUAAUCAGUAAGAUAAAGUGUUGAAUUUUAUAUUCACUUAAUAGUUGGAUAUGUACAAUUGCGAUUUCACUACUUCAGAGAGAUUGUUUUCAUCUUCAUUUGAUAAUAGAAGGGAAGUGUGUAUGCAAAUACAUGAAGUGGAAGAAAAUGAAGCCAGAUGAUUACCACAGUCAAUAAGAGGGUUUUUCAGAAUUUUGAUAGAAAAACCAACAAAACUUAUUAUCUCCCGCAGAGAAAACGUGGAAGCAAUGAUGUAACAUAUAGAUUGUGCCUCUUGAUUUAUCAAGUGAUAAAAAGUGUUGAAUCAUGAUGGAUGAUAAACGAACACAAGAUAAUAUAAAAUCGAAAACAAUAAUAAAAAAAUUAGUGAAUCAUUAUAUCCUGUAAAAGAGUUAGGAAACAUCAUGUUAUUGGUUUUCUAUUAUUAUGUUCAUCUUAAAAAUGUAUUGUUGUAUGCUUUGAUUCUGAUACUCU
rnacentral:lncRNA from 1 species